rnacentral:rRNA from 1 species
CCUGCGGGGGGCAGCAGUGGGGAAUAUUGGACAAUGGGCGAAAGCCUGAUCCAGCCAUGCCGCGUGUGUGAAGAAGGCCUUCGGGUUGUAAAGCACUUUCAGUGGGGAAGAAAGCCUUGGGGCUAAUACCCUCGAGGAAGGACAUCACCCACAGAAGAAGCACCGGCUAACUCCGUGCCAGCAGCCGCGGUAAUACGGAGGGUGCGAGCGUUAAUCGGAAUUACUGGGCGUAAAGCGCGCGUAGGCGGUCUGAUAAGCCGGUUGUGAAAGCCCCGGGCUCAACCUGGGAACGGCAUCCGGAACUGUCAGGCUAGAGUGCAGGAGAGGAAGGUAGAAUUCCCGGUGUAGCAGUGAAAUGCGUAGAGAUCGGGAGGAAUACCAGUGGCGAAGGCGGCCUUCUGGACUGACACUGACGCUGAGGUGCGAAAGCGUGGGUAGCAAACAGGAUUAGAUACCCUGGUAGUC